rnacentral:misc_RNA from 1 species
GGGAGGAACCUUGUGCAUGUUUAGUGAGUUUCUCCCGACAGUCUGUUACGGACGUGUCUGUGUUUUUGGGGAUUGUGAUUCGUUUGACUCUUUUUUUUUUCACUGCUGAUGUCCACUUGCAGUGUUUGUAUGUGUGUUUUGUGAGGCCAUAUUUAGUUUUGCAGCCGCUAGUGGACUUAUUUCGACGUGUGUUGGAAUUUUCCUUUUUUUUUGGGCUGGACACGUUGUUAGUCGAAAUAACUCCUGGUUAGCACUUGUGUGUGUGGUGGCCAUCGGUAUUUGCAGCGGAUGUUUCUGUAUUUCUCUACAACGGAUAAUGGAGGGUCGCAAUACUAACUGAUUGAUCAAUAGAAUUUUGUGAUCGAGUGACACACAUAGACACGAGUGGGCACCGGCAAGCAGACGACAACUGGCCGAUAGACUUAUUUUUUUUUAAAUAAGGAUCGACGAAUACUUUUCAGUCCUCCUGGAGGCAUGGAACGCCACUCCGGGAAGGUUUCUUCUACCGCAUCUAUCACAUCCUAUUUCAGGUUGUGAUGUGAUACGCCAACGCCCGGCGUAUGCAUGUGUGAGUGUGCGUGAGUGAACGCGUGUCAUCUAUGUACUUCAGUCCCUGGCUGGAGACGCUGGCUGACAAUUGAAAACAAUUGAAAAAUAAAGGACGUUGCUGUCAUCGGUGAAAGUCGUUGAAAUUGGCCCUGGAUUUGUUGGAACUUUUCUUUCCCACCCUUGCUCUCGUUGUUGUUGUUGUUGAUUCGAGCAUCACAAAGUCUGGGACGACGCACAAAAACUUUUAAAACUCAAACGAAGAAGCAUCCGGAGGGGUGCUCAACCCAUCCAGCAUCAAGAUGGCGAUGGUGGACGGAAGGCCGGCCCAGUAUGGGGUAUCCCUGAAACAGCUCCGCGAGGUGAUGGAGCUGCGAGGUCGGGAGGCUGUCGAACAAUUGCGUCACUACGGCGGCGUCCAGGAGUUGUGUAAAAAACUCUACACGUCGCCGACGGAAGGAUUAUCCGGUUCGCCGAAGGACAUCGAACAUCGGCGGGAGACAUUCGGAUCGAACACGAUCCCACCUAAGCCGCCAAAGACCUUCUGGAGAUUGGUGUGGGAAGCGUUGCAAGAUGUCACCCUCAUCAUUCUGGAAGUCGCAGCCAUCGUCUCACUACUUUUAUCUUUCAUACCUUCCAGUGGCGAAGCCGCCGAAGAUGAGCUCGGUCACGAGGAGGACAAGUCUCACGAAUGGAUCGAAGGCCUGGCUAUUCUUAUUUCCGUUAUAGUCGUCGUCUUGGUUACUGCCUUUAAUGAUUACACCAAAGAGCGACAGUUCCGCGGGCUGCAGAGCCGCAUCGAAGGCGAGCACAAAUUCGCCGUUUUGCGCGGAGGCGAAUGCAGCCAAAUCUUCGUCGGCGAGAUAGUCGUCGGCGACAUCUGCCAAGUGAAAUAUGGAGAUUUGCUGCCGGCUGAUGGCAUUUUGAUUCAGAGCAACGAUUUGAAAGUGGACGAGUCAUCGCUAACGGGCGAAUCGGAUCAUGUCAAGAAAAGCGAAUUAACGGAUCCGAUGCUUCUUUCCGGCACUCACGUCAUGGAAGGCAGCGGUCGGAUGUUGGUGGCGGCCGUCGGCAUCAAUUCGCAAGCUGGCAUCAUCUUUACCCUGCUAGGUGCUGCUGCUGACCAGCAAGAAGCGGAUGCUAAACAACGGAAGAAAGAAGCCAAAAAGCAACGGAAGAAGAAGAAAGGAGAUGUCGAAGAAGGCGCUGUCGGUAACAACAGCCAUCCGAUGGAUCACGGAGGGAACAACAUGGCGAGCAAACAAGAGACGAGGGAAGGAUCCAGCUGUCCAGCUGAGGACGCCCCUAUCAAAGAAGAGAAAUCGGGUCACAAGGAUAAAUCUGUUCUGCAAGCCAAACUGACGAAACUGGCCAUCCAAAUCGGUUACGCUGGUUCGACCAUCGCCAUUUUGACGGUCAUCAUUCUGAUAACGACGUUUUGCAUCAAGACUUUCGUCUACGAAAACCAACCGUGGAAAAACGAAUAUUUCAAUCACUUCGUCAAGUUCCUCAUUAUCGGUGUCACCGUCUUGGUCGUCGCCGUCCCGGAGGGUUUGCCCUUGGCUGUGACCCUCUCGUUGGCCUACUCCGUCAAAAAAAUGAUGUUAGACAACAACUUGGUUCGACAUUUGGACGCUUGCGAGACGAUGGGCAAUGCGACUGCCAUCUGUUCGGAUAAAACGGGAACGCUGACAACGAACAGGAUGACGGUUGUUGCCUGCUAUAUCGGAGGACAGCACUACAAAUCCAUUCCGAAGUACGACUCGCUUCCGCCGCAAGUGGCCAACCUUGCCCUUCAUGCCAUCUCGAUCAAUAGUGCUUACACGUCCCGUAUUUUGGAUGGAGAUUUGCCCAAUGAACCCAUCAAGCAGGUGGGCAAUAAAACGGAAUGCGCCAUGCUCGGUUUCGUGCUGGAUUUGAAGAAAUCCUAUCAGGCCAUUCGUGACGAGCAUCCAGAAGAAUCAUUUCAUCGUGUCUACACCUUCAAUUCGAGCCGCAAGUCGAUGAGUACCGUCAUUGCUCGUGAGGGAGGCGGAUACCGCGUCUUCACCAAAGGUGCAUCUGAAAUGGUGCUGAAAAAGUGCGCCUUCAUUUACGGUGUGGAUGGAAAACUGGAGAAAUUUACUCGCGAGAAUCAAGAAGGGCUUGUGCGAAACGUCAUCGAGCCAAUGGCGUGCGAUGGUCUGCGCACUAUCGCCGUUGCCUACCGCGAUUUUGUGCCAGGCAAGGCCGAAAUCAACCAAGUCCAUUACGACAACGAACCCAACUGGGACGAUGAGGAUGGAAUCAUCAAUAACUUAACUUGCAUGCUUAUCGUCGGAAUUGAAGAUCCUGUCCGGCCCGAGGUUCCGGAUGCUAUUCGACAGUGCCAAAAGGCGGGUAUUACAGUGCGCAUGGUGACGGGCGACAACGUGAACACGGCUCGAUCCAUCGCCAUCAAGUGCGGCAUCGUCACACCCGGCUUGGACUACCUUAUUAUCGACGGCAAAGAAUUUAAUCGACGUAUUCGCGACUCUAAUGGCGAGGUCCAGCAACACUUGCUCGAUCAAGUUUGGCCGAAACUUCGAGUAUUGGCUCGUUCUUCACCCACCGACAAGUACACGCUGGUCAAGGGAAUUAUCGACAGCAAGAUAUCCGAUAACCGAGAAGUAGUGGCGGUGACAGGAGACGGUACUAACGAUGGCCCGGCUCUCAAGAAAGCUGACGUCGGAUUCGCUAUGGGCAUUGCUGGAACGGAUGUGGCCAAAGAAGCGUCCGACAUUAUCUUGACGGAUGACAACUUUAGUAGCAUCGUUAAGGCCGUUAUGUGGGGCCGCAACGUUUACGAUUCUAUCGCCAAGUUCUUGCAGUUUCAAUUGACCGUCAACAUUGUGGCCGUCAUCGUCGCUUUCUUCGGCGCUUGCUUCAUUCAAGAUUCGCCGUUGAAAGCCGUCCAGAUGUUGUGGGUCAACCUCAUCAUGGACACGUUAGCCUCUCUAGCUCUUGCCACUGAAAUGCCCACGCCCGACUUGCUUACGCGCAAGCCUUAUGGCCGCACUAAGCCCCUCAUCUCCCGCACCAUGAUGAAAAAUAUCACUGGCCAAGGCAUCUACCAGCUGGCGGUCAUCUUCACUCUCGUGUUCGUCGGCGAGAAAUUUUUGGACAUUGAUUCGGGUCGAUACAGAACCGAUUCCGAUCCUACACAGCAUUUUACCAUCAUCUUCAACACUUUUGUGAUGAUGACGUUGUUUAACGAGAUCAACGCCAGGAAGAUCCACGGCCAGCGCAACGUCUUCGAAGGCAUUUUCACCAACCCCAUCUAUUAUUGCAUCUGGAUAGCCACUGCGGCUUCGCAGGUGCUCAUUGUGCAAUUUGGCGGUCACGCGUUUUCCACUGCCCCUCUCACGAUAGCCCAGUGGGCGUGGUGCAUCUUUUUCGGCGUGGGAACUCUAGUGUGGGGCCAGGUGGUCACCACGGUUCCCACUAGCAAGAUUCCCAAAAUCUUCUCUUGGGGUCGAGGACAUCCUGAAGACAUUUCAGCUGCAAUGGGCGCCCUAACCGAAGACAGAUUCGAUGCCGAUGGUGAAAAGAAGCGAACUACAGGCCAGAUCCUUUGGAUCCGCGGUCUCACACGACUCCAGACACAGUUACUCCCACGCUGUUGUCAACUUAACGAUGCAUUAUUAUUGAUACACGAAGCCAAGAAAUAAAAGUUUUGUUUCUAUUGUAUCAUGGGCAAAAAGUCCCAAAGUUCUCGGCAUUACUAGUAAAUGUCAAGCAAUUAAGACGACCUUCUCACAAGUGCAGUGAAAAUAUGAGCGCUAUCAAAAAAGAAGAACGUGCCUUCCCGCCAUCGAAUUACAUUUCAUUUUCCAACAAAACAAGCUCCAUUUGUUCCCUAGUUGUUACACGUCUGUAAUCAUUUGAAAAUCGUUGAUAUCGGCACGCUCGUUGCAAAGGUGUCCUUAUACUAUAACAGCAAUUUAACCGCUCUAUUUUUAAACGAGUGUUUGAUAAAUGUUAAAAUUCUUCAUUGACGUGCUAUAUAAUGGAUCAUUUGUGAUGACCUAGACUAUAGAUGUUCAUCAAUGCCCAGUAAGUUUCUGCUUCAUCAGCUGGAAUUCGAAGGAAGCUCAGCUUUGCGGCCUUGGUUGUUCUCCUUCAUGCACUCCGCAUAGAUGCCCAGGGCGUCCCUAUCAGCAUUGAGGGUGUUGAUGAUUAACUGAUUCUGCAGCAAACACGAUCCGCAAUGAUAACGUAUCACGUCACGAUUUCGUAUCUACAUAAAAACGAGCGCAGCUCUAUGGCAAAACUUUUGUACUUCAUCCUUAGUUAGUGAUGCAACCAGAAGAUCUCUGCGGUGGGUACGAGAUUACCGAACAUAAUGAGUAUUUGCAUCAUACUUCCAAGAAAACAACAUCCGCAACAUUUUUUUCCCCUUCACUAAUAACGACAUCAAAUCCCGGGGAGCAUGAAAUAUUUUCCUGGCAAAAUUCUAUCGUGUCAGUUGGAUUGCUCGCUGUUUGUGAACCCUUUCGUUUGUAGGUUGUUGUCUUCGGCAAGUCUUCCUAUUCCUUUCGCUACCAGCAGUCUAUUGUCGUGGCUAAAUCAAUAUUUAUCUCUGUAUCCAUACAACUGGCAAUAGUCUGCACACUU